rnacentral:antisense_RNA from 1 species
CCCUUCGCCUUCUGCCAUGAUUUUAAGUUUCCUGAAGCCUCCCAGCCAUGCUUCCAGUUAAGCCUGCGGAACUGAGCUGGACAGAAGUUUGUAUUACAGGCUCGUAGCACCGGAGGUUUCUGAUGGAGCAGACAACUUGAGGAAGGCCGGCCUUGCUGAACACAGUGGACUGACCGGGUCUGGACCCCUCCCCCACAGGUGACUGUGCACUGCAGCAGAGAGAAGAGGAAGGAGUCAGAAACACUCUACUGAGAUCCUCCCGAAUAGAUAACGUACGUACAUAUUUAUACCUCUACCCGGACUCUGUGAUUAAUGGUGAGGUGGGGAGCACCCGAGUCCUCUGAACUCAACAGCUGUGCAGCAACAUCUGCUGGGUGGAAUGCUGGAAGGACCGCAUCACACACCAAUCCUAGCUAAAGUUUCACCCAAGUCUUCUGAAAAGAAGGGUGCCUCUAGUAUCUGAUAAAAGUUUAAAAGCGAAGAAUCCUUGGCUGAAUUGCCUGACAUUCUGAGCUUUAGGGACCAUACUACCCCUGAAUAGGAGUACUUAGCACUAUGCAUAGUAAUAGCUUGACAAAUAUUAGCUAUUACAUUGUUCAGAAACAUGAAGUAAGAACCAAAUGAGUAAAGGCUGUGAGCAGCAUUUCUAAAACA